UUGGGUAAUCAUCAAAUAUACAUAAUCAUCAAAAUCACGUUAUUGAGAAUGCUGCUUGAUGUCAAAUUAGUAUGUCGCUACCAAUGGGAGGGUUCGAACCAAGAAGAAUGGCUAGUCUGCAUGGUCUUGAAUGAUUCACUUAGCCUCUCUGAGCCUCAACUUUGUCAUCGAAGGAAUACGGGAAAUAAAGCCAGUUUGUUUCAUCAGAUUGUGGUGAGGAUCAAAGUUUCGGUGGAACAAUACGUGUGGAAGUGGCUUGAAAAACAUCAGUGUUCCACUGGAUCUCCCUCCAGCUGUCCUGAAGGCACUCAAGACCUUAUGUGUCUGAACCUGAUGUCAUCAUCUUCCCCCACAAACUGGGUGCUCUUUGUGGGUUUCGUAUCUCAGUUCAUGGUAAGAGCAUCCAUCCACUAUAGUCAUCUUUGGCUCCUCUUCUCUCUUCCCAUCCACCUCUUCAUUCAACAAGUCUGGUAUGUUCCAAGAAAUCUUUCUAAAGUCAAAUCCCUUCCGCACAAUAGUAGUGUCAUUACUUAAUUUAUGCUCUUAUCGUCUCUUGGCUGUGUUAUUGCCAGAGCUGCCCAAAUGUUUUUCUUGGGGUAAGAGUAAUAUUUAUUUGGUAAUAUCAAGAAUUCUUUCAAUGACAAGCUGAGAAUGGUAUUUUCCUCAUUUUAUAGAUGAGUUUAUUCCGGCUCCAAGAGGUGAAGCAUCUUGCCGGAGAUUUAUAUGGGAGGUAGAUGUUAGAGUUGGCUUUGAAUUUAAGACUCUUUCAUCUGAACUCCUGCUUCUUCCACACUAUGGCAUAAUGCCUCCAGAGAAGACAGAGAGCUGAUCCUGCCCCCUGCUUCCUCAUCUUCCUUCUUCUGCAUGAGUCCUGUAGCUAGUCAAUAGUCACAUAAGAGUCAGGAAUUAAUUUAGACUGAAUAUCAAGUACAUUCUGCCUAUAUUCAUUGUAUUCUUGAGUUUGCAACCUUGGCUUAUUGACAUCUGAGGCUGAAUGAUUCUUUAUUGUGGGAGUGAAUACUGUGCAUUAUAGGAAUUUUCAUCAGCAUCCCUGGUUUCUAGUUACUAAAUGCCAGUAACACACAUCUCCCUCGAUUUGUCACUACCAGUGUUUUAUCUCCAGAUGUUGCCAAAUGCCCCCAGUGGGGAGGGGGUGACACAAAAUUGUCCCUGGUCCAGAUCUACUGUCCCACUCCUAAAGAUCUCCUUGCCCCCAUAGGCUGGGGUUUUAUGAAGUUUCACGAUUUUGUUGUGGUUUGUUACUGGUUUCUUUUGUCUUGAUUUUGGGUUUUUGACCCUCUGCCCUCGUUUUCUAUCUCCAAGAACUCUGUCCUUAACUCAGCAGACUUGGUAAAAGUCAUACAUUAUUUUAUCUUAGGUGUACUAUUUCUCCAGGAUUGGGAUCUCCCACCUUGCCUUUCUCAGUUCUGCAGACAUGAAUUGGGACUAUCAGUUUGGGCUAGAUUAUAUACUCCCUGGUUAUUCCUUCAUACACUAACCUAGGCAUCACUGUGAAGGUAUUUGGUAGAUGUGAUUAAAGUCUAUAAUCAUCUACUUUUAAAAGUAUGGAACAUUAUGGUAGAUAAUCGGAACGGUCCUUAUCCAAUCAUUUGAAAGGCUUAAGGAUAGAAUUGAGACUCCUCAGAAGUUUUGCUGGGGGACUGCAGUGUCAGUUUGUGCCUGGCUGUUCCCUUCCUGUGAUAGGACUACGGAGUAUGGAAUUGCUUAGCCGACCCCUGCAAUCACAUUCAGACAGCUCCUGGUGAUAAAUCUCUUAAUUUAUGUCUUCUGCUUGUUCCAUUUCUCUUAUUGAGCCCUCAUAGGUGAGGCUUCUUCAACUUCCACAUCCAUGGUUAGGUCUUCCCUACUUGUUACUAGAAUUUACCUUUAAUGACAAUCAUCAGGCUCUGGAAUUCCACUUGCCCAGGCAGUAGCCAUUGAAGGACCACCUGCCUACAUGGCUGUACCUGUUGUCACCUGCCGUGAGAUUCCUUCUGAUGUCAGUUGCACACCUAAUGGUAUUGCCUUCUGAAACCAACUUCCAAAUCUAGCCAAACAACCAACUCUAACUGGUGGCUCUGUCCAUUAUCAAGUUAUUUCCAUUUCAAAUCUGUCUAUUCCCAUCCAAAAUUAUAUGCAACUACUAAUGUCACAUGUGCAAAUUAAACAAGUUGUUUAGAAGCUCAAUGAAAGGGCAGCCCAGGUGGCUCAGCGGUUCAGCGCCACCUUCGGCUCAGGGCCUGAGCCUGGAGACCCGAGAUUGAGUCCCACGUCGGGCUCCAUGCAUGGAGCCUGCUUCUCCCUCUGCUUGUGUCUCUGCCUCUCUCUCUCUCUCUCUCUGUCUCAUGAAUAAAUAAAUACAAUUUUAAAAAAAGAAGCUCA
rnacentral:lncRNA from 12 species